rnacentral:rRNA from 1 species
UGGGGAAUCAUGGUCAAUGGGCGAAAGCCUGAACCUGCGACGCCGCGUGAGUGAUGAAGGUCGUAAGAUCGUAAAACUCUUUUCAGGGAUCUUAAAGCCUGUCUGUCAACAACAGGCAGGUCUGACUCUCCCUGGAAGAAGCCCCAGCCAACUACGUGCCAGCAGCUGCGGUAAUACGUAGGGGGCGAGCGUUAUUCGGAAUUACUGGGUGUAAAGGGUAUGUAGGCGGCCCUUCAAGUCGCGUGUCAAAGUCCAGUGCUCAACGCUGGGUGUGCACGCGAUACUGACGGGCUUGAGGGCUGGAGAGGAGAGCGGAAUUCCCAGUGUAGUGGUAAAAUACGUAGAGAUCGGGAAGAACACCAGCGGCGCAGGCGGCUCACUGGACAGUUUCUGACGCUAAGAUGCGAAAGCGUGGGGAGCAAACA